AUGAAGAUGGCGACUUGCAUUCGUAAGGUGGCCUCGGAGGAGUUUGGAGUGUCCAGGGGAAGGAGAAGCAAAGAUAAGGAUACCUGGUGGUGGAAUGAUGAUGUCCAGAAGGCGCUGAAAGAGAAGAAAGAUUGCUUCAGACGCCUAUACCUAGAUAGGAGUGCAGACAACAUAGAGAAGUGCAAGAUGGCGAAGAAGGCCGCAAAGCGAGCUGUUGGUGAAGCAAGGGGUCGAGCAUAUGAGGACCUCUACCAACGGUUAGGCACGAAGGAAGGUGAAAGGGACAUCUAUAAGAUGGCUAAGAUCCGGGAGAGGAAGACGAGGGAUAUUGGCCAAGUCAAAUGCAUCAAGGACGGAGCAGGCCAACUCUUGGUGAAGGACGAAGAGAUUAAGCAUAGAUGGCGGGAGUACUUCGACAAGCUGUUCAAUGGGGAGAAUGAGAGUUCUACCAUUGAACUGAAUGACUCCUUUGAUGAGAUCAGCAUGCGUUUUGUGCGGCGCAUCCAGGAGUCUGAGGUGAAGGAGGCUUUAAAAAGGAUGAAAGGAGGCAAGGCAAUGGGCCCUGAUUGUAUCCCCAUUGAGGUGUGGAAAGGCCUCGGGGACAUAGCGAUAGUAUGGCUAACCAAGCUUUUCAACCUCAUUUUUCGGGCAAACAAGAUGCCAGAAGAAUGGAGACGGAGUAUAUUAGUACCAAUCUUCAAGAACAAGGGAGAUGUUCAAAAUUGUACUAAUUACCAUGGAAUUAAGCUGAUGAGCCAUACAAUGAAGCUAUGGGAGAGAGUCAUUGAGCACCGCUUAAGAAGAAUGACAAGCGUGACCAAAAAUCAGUUUGGUUUCAUGCCUGGGAGGUCGACCAUGGAAGCCAUUUUCUUGGUACAACAACUAAUAGUGAGAUAUAGGGAGCAUAAGAAGGACUUGCAUAUGGUGUUCAUUGACUUGGAGAAGGCCCAUGAUAAGAUACCGCGGAAUGUCAUGUGGUGGGCCUUGGAGAAACACAAAGUCCCAGCAAUGUACAUUACCCUCAUCAAGGACAUGUACAAUAAUGUUGUGACAAGUGUUCGAACAAGUGAUGUCGACACCGAUGACUUCCCGAUUAAGAUAGGACUGCAUCAGGGGUCAGCUUUGAGCCCUUAUCUUUUUGCAUUGGUGAUGGAUGAGGUCACAAGGGGUAUACAAGGAGAUAUCCCAUGGUGUAUGCUCUUUGCGGAUGAUGUGGUGCUAGUUGACGAUAGUCGGAUGGGGGUAAAUAGGAAGUUAGAGUUAUGGAGACAAACCUUGGAAUCGAAAGGGUUUAGGCUUAGUAGAACUAAAACCGAGUACAUGAUGUGCGGUUUCCGUACUACUAGCUGUGAGGAGGAGGAGGUUAGCCUUGAUGGCCAGGUGGUACCUCGGAAGGACACCUUUCGGUAUUUGGGGUCAAUGUUGUAG
rnacentral:rRNA from 1 species